rnacentral:rRNA from 1 species
AGGCGCGAAACCUUUACACUGCGGGRACGCGAUAAGGGGACACCGAGUGCCAGCAUACAAUGCUGGCUGUCCACAUGUGUAAAUAGCAUGUGAUAGCAAGGGCCGGGCAAGACCGGUGCCAGCCGCCGCGGUAACACCGGCGGCCCGAGUGGUAAUCACUAUUAUUGGGUCUAAAGGGUCCGUAGCCGGUUUAAUCAGUCUUCCGGGAAAUCUGACAGCUCAACUGUUAGGCUUCCGGGGGAUACUGUUAGACUUGGGACCGGGAGAGGUAAGAGGUACUACAGGGGUAGGAGUGAAAUCUUGUAAUCCCUGUGGGACCACCAGUGGCGAAGGCGUCUUACCAGAACGGGUCCGACGGUGAGGGACGAAAGCUGGGGGCACGAACCGGAUUAGAUACCCGGGUAGUCCCAGCCGUAAACGAUGCUCGCUAGGUGUCUGGAAUGGUGCGACCGUUUCAGGUGCCGCAGGGAAGCCGUGAAGCGAGCCACCUGGGAAGUACGGCCGCAAGGCUGAAACUUAAAGGAAUUGGCGGGGGAGCACUACAACGGGUGGAGCCUGCGGUUUAAUUGGACUCAACGCCGGACAACUCACCGGGGGCGACAGCAAUAUGUAGGUCAAGCUAAAGACUUUACCUGAAUCGCUGAGAGGAGGUGCAUUGCCGUCGUCAGUUCGUACUGUGAAGCAUCCUGUUAAGUCAGGCAACGAGCGAGACCCGUGCCCACUGUUGCCAGCAUAUCUUCGGGAUGAUGGGUACUCUGUGGGGACCGCCGAUGCUAAAUCGGAGGAAGGUGCGGGCUACGGUAGGUCAGUAUGCCCCGAAUCUCCCGGGCGACACGCGGGCUACAAUGGUUGGGACAAUGGGCUCCUACACUGAAAAGUGACGGUAAUCUCAUAAACCCAGCCGUAGUUCGAAUUGAGGGCUGAAACCCGCCCUCAUGAAGCUGGAAUCCGUAGUAAUCGCGUUUCMAUAUAGCGCGGUGAAUACGUCCCU